rnacentral:rRNA from 1 species
ACGAACGCUGGCGGCGUGCUUAACACAUGCAAGUCGAACGGAAAGGCCCUGCUUUUGUGGGGUGCUCGAGUGGCGAACGGGUGAGUAACACGUGAGUAACCUGCCCUUGACUUUGGGAUAACUUCAGGAAACUGGGGCUAAUACCGGAUAGGAGCUCCUGCUGCAUGGUGGGGGUUGGAAAGUUUCGGCGGUUGGGGAUGGACUCGCGGCUUAUCAGCUUGUUGGUGGGGUAGUGGCUUACCAAGGCUUUGACGGGUAGCCGGCCUGAGAGGGUGACCGGCCACAUUGGGACUGAGAUACGGCCCAGACUCCUACGGGAGGCAGCAGUGGGGAAUAUUGCACAAUGGGCGGAAGCCUGAUGCAGCAGCGCCGCGUGCGGAAUGACGGCCUUCGGGUUGUAAACCGCUUUCGCCUGUGACGAAGCGUGAGUGACGGUAAUGGGUAAAGAAGCACCGGCUAACUACGUG